rnacentral:rRNA from 1 species
GUGGAUUAGAUACCCUGGUAGUCCACGCUGUAAACGAUGUCGACUAGCCGUCGGGGGUCUUCGUGCCCUUGGUGGCGUAGCUAACGCGCUAAGUCGACCGCCUGGGGAGUACGGUCGCAAGAUUAAAACUCAAAUGAAUUGACGGGGGCCCGCACAAGCGGUGGAGCAUGUGGUUUAAUUCGACGCAACGCGAAGAACCUUACCAGGUCUUGACAUCCAGAGAAGUCGCUAGAGAUAGCUUCGUGCCUUCGGGAACUCUGAGACAGGUGCUGCACGGUUGUCGUCAACU